ACGUGGGAUGUAAAGAAAACAACUCUAUUACGAGAGAUUCAAGAUGGAAAACUAACAGCUAAAUGUAACAUCAUUCACGUUUGCAGUGAGGACCCCUGA